rnacentral:rRNA from 1 species
UACGUAGGGUGCGAGCGUUAAUCGGAAUUACUGGGCGUAAAGCGUGCGCAGGCGGUGCACCAAGCUCGAUGUGAAAGCCCCGGGCUUAACCUGGGAAUUGCAUUGAGGACUGGUGUGCUCGAGUGCGGCAGAGGGGGGUGGAAUUCCACGUGUAGCAGUGAAAUGCGCAGAUAUCAGGAGGAACACCAAUUGCGAAGGCAGCUCGCUGGGACGUUACUGACGCUGAGACGCGAAAGCGUGGGGAGCAAACAGG